UGGGGAAUUUUGGACAAUGGGCGAAAGCCUGAUCCAGCAAUGCCGCGUGUGUGAAGAAGGCCUUCGGGUUGUAAAGCACUUUUGUCCGGAAAGAAAUCCUUGGCUCUAAUACAGUCGGGGGAUGACGGUACCGGAAGAAUAAGCACCGGCUAACUACGUGCCAGCAGCCGCGGUAAUACGUAGGGUGCAAGCGUUAAUCGGAAUUACUGGGCGUAAAGCGUGCGCAGGCGGUUUGCUAAGACCGAUGUGAAAUCCCCGGGCUCAACCUGGGAACUGCAUUGGUGACUGGCAGGCUAGAGUAUGGCAGAGGGGGGUAGAAUUCCACGUGUAGCAGUGAAAUGCGUAGAGAUGUGGAGGAAUACCGAUGGCGAAGGCAGCCCCCUGGGCCAAUACUGACGCUCAUGCACGAAAGCGUGGGGAGCAAAACAGGAUUAGAUACCCUGGUAGUCCACGCCCUAAACGAUGUCAACUAGUUGUUGGGGAUUCAUUCCUUAGUAACGUAGCUAACGCGUGAAGUUGACCGCCUGGGGAGUACGUCGCAAGAUUAAAACUCAAAUGAAUUG
rnacentral:rRNA from 1 species